ACUCACUCAUUGACUUCCUAUGCCUUUGUGCAAAUCCGAGGACAACUUUGUGGACUCGGUUCUCUCCUUCCACCUCUAUGUGGGUUCUGUGGAUCAAGCUCAGGUCAACAGACUUUCACUUGCUCACAGUAGAUGCCUUCCCUGAUGAGCCAGCUCCUCGGCUCCCACAUUACUUUUGAGACAGGGCCUUUCACCUGGAGCUCAGUGAUUCAGAUAGGCUGGUUUAGUCAGCAAGCCCCAGGGAUCUCUCCGUAUCUCCACUUCCCAAGGGCUGGGAUGAUAGGCACUUGUUAUGCUGCAAUCCAUGUGUCUUAGUUGGGUUUUUACUGCUGUGAUAAAGAACAUGAGUGUCGUAGUCAGGGUUUCUAUUCCUGCACAAACAUCAGGACUGAGAAGCAAGUUGGGGAGGAAAGGGUUUAUUCAGCUCACACUUCCACACUGCUGUUCAUCACCAAAGGAAGUCAGUACAGGAACUCACGAAGGUCAGGAAGCAGGAGCUGAUGCAGAGGCCAUGGAGGGAUGUUACUUACUGGCUUCCUUCCCCUGGCUUGAUCAGCCUUCUCUCUUAAAGAACCCAGGACCACUAGCCCAGGGAUGGCACCACCCACAAUGGGCUGGGUCCUCCCCCCUUGAUCACUAAUUGAGAAAAUGCCUUACAGCUGGGUCUCAUGGAGGCAUUUCCUCAAGGGAGGCUCCUUGCUCUGUGAUAACUCCAGCUUGUGUCAAGUUGAC
rnacentral:lncRNA from 1 species